rfam:Canis lupus familiaris chromosome 3, whole genome shotgun sequence.
CGGGGGAGGCCAGAUCCUGGGCUGUGUCCUGGCGCCCUGUGCUCCGAGGCCUGCGCUGUUGGAAUCACGCUGCCGCCCCGCAGCCCCCU